rnacentral:rRNA from 1 species
AGAGUUUGAUCAUGGCUCAGAUUGAACGCUGGCGGCAUGCCUUACACAUGCAAGUCGGACGGCAGCGCGGGGGCAACCCUGGCGGCGAGUGGCGAACGGGUGAAUAAUACAUCGGAACGUGUCCUGGAGUGGGGGAUAGCCCUGCGAAAGCCGGAUUAAUACCGCAUAAUCUCUAAGGAGCAAAGCAGGGGAACUUCGGUCCUUGCGCUAUCGGAUGAACCCAUAUGGGAUUAGCUAGUUGGUGAGGUAAUGGCUCACCAAGGCGACGAUCCCUAGCUGGUCUGAGAGGAUGAUCAGCCACACUGGGACUGAGACACGGCCCAGACUACUACGGGAGGCAGCAGUGGGGAAUAUUGCACAAUGGGCGCAAGCCUGAUGCAGCCAUGCCGCGUGUAUGAAGAAGGCCUUAGGGUUGUAAAGCACUUUUGUCCGGAAAGAAAACCUCCGUCCUAAUACGGUGGGGGGAUGACGGUACCGGAAGAAUAAGCACCGGCUAACUACGUGCCAGCCGCCGCGGUAAUUC